rnacentral:rRNA from 1 species
UUUCCGGUUGAUCCCGCCGGACCUGACCGCUAUCGGAUUGAUACUAAGCCAUGCGAGUCUUUGCAGUAAUGCAAGGCAUACGGCUCAGUAACACGUAGUCAACUUACCCUAUGGACGAGGAUAAUCUCGGGAAACUGAGCAUAAUACUCGAUAGAUCAUAAUGCCUGGAAUGGUUUAUGGUUAAAAUGAUUCGUCGCCAUAGGAUGGGACUGCGGCCUAUCAGCCUGUUGGUGAGGUAAUGGCCCACAAGGCGAUUACAGGUACGGGCUCUGAGAGGAGAAGCCCGGAGAUGGGUACUGAGACAAGGACCCAGGCCCUAUGGGGCGCAGCAGGCGAGAAAACUUUGCAAUGUGCGAAAGCACGACAAGGUUAAUCCGAGUGAUUUCUGCUAAAGAAAUCUUUUGCAAGUCAUAAAACCACUAGUGAAUAAGGGGUGGGCAAGUUCUGGUGUCAGCCGCCGCGGUAAAACCAGCACCUCAAGUGGUCAGGAGGAUUAUUGGGCCUAAAGCAUCCGUAGCCGGCUCUGUAAGUUUUCGGUUAAAUCCAUGUGCUCAACGCAU